rnacentral:rRNA from 1 species
AUUGAACGCUGGCGGCAGGCCUAAUACAUGCAAGUCGAGCGGAUGAAGGGGGCUUGCUCCUGGAUUCAGCGGCGGCCGGGUGAGUAAUGCCUAGGAAUCUGCCUGUUAGUGGGUGAUAACGUCCGGAAACGGGCGCUAAUACCGCAUACGUUCUGAGGGAGAGAGUGGGGGAUCUUCGGACCUCCCGCUACCAGUUGAGCCUAGGUCGGAUUAGCUUGUUGGUGGGGUAAAGGCCUACCAAGGCGACGAUCCGUAACUGGUCUGAGAGGAUGAUCAGUCACACUGGAACUGAGACACGGUCCAGACUCCUACGGGAGGCAGCAGUGGGGAAUAUUGGACAAUGGGCGAAAGCCUGAUCCAGCCAUGCCGCGUGUGUGAAGAAGGUCUUCGGAUUGUAUAGCACUUUAAGUUGGGAGGAAGGGCAGUAAGUUAAUACCUUGCUGUUUUGACGUUACCAACAGAAUAAGCACCGGCUAACUUCGUG